rnacentral:lncRNA from 1 species
CGUACUAUACACAUUAUGGUGUGAUUUGGACAUUCCUGGCUUGAUUGAAAAGUGGAUUUCUCGUCAAUGUUAUCACAGAUGACAAUUGGUUCGAACUUUAUUUCCUGAACACAGAAAAACGAUUAUGGAAUUUUCAUGCCAAUUGUUAUAAUCAAAUUCUUUAGACAUAUUCAUGCAAUAUUACAGACUGACAAUGCAAAACUGCCACUUGAAUAUAUCAAUGAACUAGUAAAACAUGCAAAUUAUUUCCAUUCAUGGCUGCUAGAUUUGCAAUAUACACUUCAAGGUUGCAUAGUCAUGGAAAGCAAUCAGCAGCACAAAGGUAAAACUAGAUAUAAAUAAGAUAACUAAAAUAAAAAACGAAUUCCGACAUUGAUUUGAAUAGGACCUCAUCAAAAUCUUAAGAUCCUAUAUAAUCCAACUAUUUGGGCCACUUAUGUACUCUUUGCUUAAAACCCUUGGUUUACAGGGAAGUACUUAGACUAUAAUACCAAUUAUUCAAAUAAAUUGAAAACAAUACCCACAAAUCAACAAUUAUUAACAAUCGAACAAAAAGGUGAAAGAAAUUUUGCACAAAUCAAAACACUACACAUUAUCAAUUUAACAAAAUUUAUGACCUAAAAAUCUGAAUAGCAGAGAUUUAUUACCUAAAAAUGACCAUUUUCUGCUGCAAUUCGAAAUAAUUGAACUUUGAAACGGGGAAGUAAUCGGAGGUUUGUAGAAAGUUUUGGCUGCUGUAAAUUUUUUCCUCAUUUUUGCUUUGGUAAAGGUACUUUUGUUGAGAGAGACAAUAUAAAAUCAAAAAUAAAAAUUAUCUCAACCUAAAUAAAUGGGGGGAAAUGAAAAAGAAUGGGAGGGAGUGAAAUUUAUGUUCCUGCCUCAUUUUUGCCACGGUAUUUUAGUACCAAUCCUUUAAACGUGGCUAAUUUUUAUUAUUUUUGUUAAAUUUAUCACAAUUUUUUAAACCCUGGCUAAAUAACUGUGGGUAACAAGCGAUUUUUGGUAGUGUAUCGACUUCUUCUUUUCUCUACGCUCACUUACUGCCUUGCCUUUAUCUUUCAAUGGCUGUCCCAUCAGAUCAUCUAUGUCAUCAUCAUCCUUUAAAUCCACUAUUUUUGGAUUAAAUAUGCCAUGAUCGGAUGUUUCAGUUUGGUCGUGAACUUAGCUAAAUCUGAAAUUAAAAGUUAUUGCAACCUAUUGUUUACUCUCUCAUCUAUAUCAUCUAUGAGAAUAUAAAUACUUAUAUGACUUCAAAGCCUCCACGAUAAUUCUAUCCACGAACGAUUUAAAUUCCAUGGCCCAUGCAUUUAACUACCUUCAAAUUUCUUUUAUGCUUUGACCACCUAUACAAAAUUCUCUAGUGUGAAUCUAUGCUCCAAGUAAACAGGUGGCAUGAAUGCAAUCUCAAUAGUCUCAGUAGUCGGGGUUGUAGGAGCACAGCCGCAGAUGCUAUGAAAUUAUUAUAUAAAUCAAUAAUAAUAAGAGGUAAUGGCAUACCCGUGGGGAUAUUUGGUAUUUCUGGAGUAGUGUAAGAUUGGGGCUCGAAUGAUUGUGGUUUGUGAACCCUUAACUUAAAUUUUAUCUUAUCUCGCAUUUUUUCAAUGUCUCCCUAAUUUCAUUAUCCACUCCAUUAAUGAUAGGAACCUUCACUAGAUGGCAUAAUUCCAUAUGAGACAUGGAAAAGGCAGCACACUAGCUAUCUUAUCUGCCCUAAUGAACAACUCAUCACUAAUCACAUGGCUAAAAUUAAUCUUCGACCUCUCCAAUACAUGAUAAUUCUCUAUGCAUCCAGGUUCGCAUUACCACUAGUAGACAUAAGUCGAAUCCUAACUAUAGCCUAUUAAAACUUUUAGUUGAAGCUUAAUGAGGACUUGGCUAUAUAUUUUCUAUUAUUCAGCCAUGAUAGUUCUCCAUUGUGUGUCAAAACUCGAGUAAGCCAUGGUCGUUGUGUAGAGGCAUUAGUAAUUUGAUACUCAAGAUCUGGAUUGAUAGUAGGGGCAGUGUAUAAUUAACCGAAUAAGAUUCUAUUAAUAGUAUGAUCUGAGAUGUCCACUAAGACUCUCCGAACUAGAAUUCUAGUCCUACUUUGCAAUAAGAAACCUUUUGCCCCUUUGGGCAUUCUUUCUCUAGGAUAGCUAAAUAAUUGGCAAAGAAUUCUACGACAAUAGUGGGGUAGUAAGAACUUGGUGGUGUGCUCAAAUAACUUAGCCCAUAAUCAUUGAACUGCUUUUUAAUGUCAGGAUAUUCCGAUAGAUCCAUCGUCAUUAUUUGCCAUUCCUCAGCAAUUGGUCUUUUCAUGCUUCUAGAGUAGGUUAGUUGAAGACCAUCAAAAUAGUUCUUUUUAGCACCUUCAUCCCUUCAUCUAAUAGAUUCUCUAACCUCUGUAUCUUUUCUAUGGAUGACAUCACCCUCUUCUUUCUCAGGUUCCUUCUACGGACUAAUAGGGUCCCCAUUUUAACUCUUCACACUUAGGCUAGAGCUUGAAUUAUCAUUGCUUUCCCUGUCACUACUCAAAUCAACACUUAACGAACCAUCCCCAUCUUUCGAGUGGGAGAACUGGUUAUAGUUUUUCCACUUUGUAUGGUGUUAUAGGCUGGGGCCUUAGCUUCCUCAGACUCAACUUCUGGCUCAUCUCAAAGUCUUAAAGUAGAGGUUUCUUAAGCUUGCCUUAUUCUAGACCCACAUCUCCUUGAUUGUAGCUUUUGAGGCAUCAUACCUAUGGUAGGGACUAGUUAGUCAUAGUAAAAAAAUAACAAAUUAGGAAAAUGAUUGACAUUUAGGAUCUGGUUAGGCAUGACAGGUUGGGUGAUGUCACAUCAACCCAAUCGUCAGUGCUUAAAUAGUUUGUUUUUAAAAACUUAUGUGCCUCGUGAUGUUUCUCCUAAUGGGUCAUCGUCUGACUGAUGGUUCGUCAGCUCAACCUUCAGUUUUUAAGCAUAUUUGGUUAUGUUAAUGUGUUUGGUGACGGUUGGCUUGACGGCCAUCACACAAGAGAUGGUGAGUCGGUAAAACCAUCAAACCUUGACCGGAAUAGGCCAAAUCAAUUUACGUACCGAUGAUUGGCUUGAUGGCUCAUUAUAAAUGCGAUGGUCAGUCAGCUAAGUCUUCCAAUGUAAUUAGUUUCAACACCCUUUUUAGGCAUUUUGUUGAGCACUUGGUAAGUAACCUUUUUACCUGAACAAUGUUUGAAUGAUAUGGAAUUUUCUCAAAAUUAAUCAAGUAAAAACAUAUUUUUACCAUCCAUAGGUUUAUUCAGACGCCGCUCCUGAGGUUACCACACCACAAUAUGCAAAGUAUGAAUCUCGACAUAAUACAGCUACCCGUUUACAUGUUUACAACACUUGGUAGUUGUAUUGGUCUAAUAAAAUGAAAAAUAAAGACACACAAACUAGACUAAAAUUAAAUGGGAAAUUAAACAUACUUGAGUUAUUGAAUGUCGAUGAAAGAUGAAAAUUUGUUAGUACAAAGUGUUAAAGCUUAAAGAUAUCAAAGUAGGGCAAAUAUUGGAUGAUCUAUUCCUAAUAACGAAUAUGACUAUGCUAGAGGGUGGUUUAAAUAGAGAGGUGUGAUGAAUAGUAAUGUUAAUGAGCGAUGAAUGUGAUUUAUGAGUUGUGAAUGUGGGAGUUUCAAUCUUUGAAGAAGGUAAAGUGGAAAAGGUAAUGGAUAAUGUCGGUAUUAAUUAAAUUAAAAGUGGAUAAGGGUUGGAUCAAGUAAUGGGUUGGUUUUAAGUUGAAAUAGGUGUUAGGUUAUUGUGGGCUGGGUUGGUUUUAAAUAAAAUGGGGAGGAUUAAAAAGCCUUACCUGCGACGGUUCAUACGAUGGUUUGUCAGUAGGUCGAUGGUUCAUUAUUUGAUCGUUGGGCCUCUCCAGUGUGACCUUUCAGUGAAUUUUCAUUG